UGCCGCCUCCAACCCCACGCUUGCAGCGGCGGCGCCGUCACCGUCUUCCCAGCCGCUGCGUCCAGGAGCUCCUUGCCGUCCUCGUCCGACGCGUCUGCCUUCGCUUCGAGGCCUAACUUCGAUGGUGCCGUCGUCACUGCCGAUUCAGUUCGCUCUCUCUCCGUCGUCUCCCAUUUGCUUAUGUCCCAUGCAGCCCUGGCCACAAAUACUACUGUAGUAUGCAUGGUGUGAUGUUACUAUCUCCGAUUUUUGUUUAUGCAUGUUACCAGCAGCUGCGCAUACGCCGCAAUCAAGAAUUGGGGAGCCUCCCUUGUGAAUUUGUAGUCAUGCAUAUUAUUCAUGUGCCGCCCAAUUGUUUUUCAGGGCCUUAAUCUUGGUGUGGAUUGGGCCAUCACAUUUUUGUCGGGCUUGGGUGUUCAGGUACCUGCAUGCUUUAGGUGCAGGUGUGCUACAAGCCGGCGCGGCUGCACUUCUACGCAGUUCCUAAAUUUUCUUUGCGGAGUUUGGGUGUUGCUUACCUGGAUUGCUUGGAAUGCCAAUGGGCUUGCUGGUGGUAAGUAUAGCAAGAAAGAGAUCAUUGGGUAAUCUCCAGCAGCGCAGAGUUCCUAUUUUUGUGCUCUGCAGUGACACGGAGAUCUUUUGGUCAAUUCGCCAUUGUUCUACAGAAGUUGGAAAGUUACAGUGGAAUAUAGUCCAAGUCCUUUCCCAAGGUCCUCCUUCUCCCUGCCAACAUGUCGGCACAAUAAAAAUAGGUGAAAGGGUUGCCUCCUCACCACUGCCACCAUCCUCGGCCAUCACGGUGCCGCUUGGGCAUAGUCGAGUCCUUUCCCAAGGGUGACAUCUAUAUGGCCAUACAGAUGAAAAGUUGAUUCACAUAUUUACUGCCGGACCCACGGAGUCUGCUCCCAUGACUACACCUUCUUCCUCGAGCUGUUAGAAGAAUGGCUUCAACCAGGGGAGACGUAGGAUGGGAGUCCGGCCAAGGCAACCUGAUAGGGAGGAUAGAGUAAGGCGAACUGUCUAUGUCUCGGACAUUGAUCAACAUCACGCUAAACAGAAAGCUUGCUGAGGCUUUCUCAAACUGUGUUCAAGCUAAAUGUUUGCAGACAUGGGAAGCUGUUGCUAUUAAGAUUUAAGAAAUGUGCUCAGGUUACCCCGCAAAAAAAAAGUGCUCAGUUUGCUAACUUGCAAGCGAGGGUCAGCUCUUCUGAACAUAUACCUCAUGGUAGAAAUGGCUAAUAACAUAAUCAACUUUAUGCUUACAUCAAGAAGUGCUUAUAUUUUCUCAUGCCCUCAACUACUAUUUUAGCUUUAGUAUGCUCUGGGUAUAAGUAUAGCCGCUACAACGGUCAGUACCAAGGGUGAGGGCCUCCACGUUUGAAGAUGAUCUCACAGGGAUCAGGAGGUCGUUCAUGACAGUGUUGCAUCCACAUGUUCUAAUCAAAUGCUUAGCACUGAGUUACUUGGAAGAUAUCAACGAGCCUUGUGUUGGAGUGUCGUGAUAUGGUAUCUGAAUAAAUUUGAUUGUACGGCAUUUAUAAGAGGCCGGGGCGCGUGUUGAAUCAUAUACUAUUAGGUAUAUCCUAAUAUUCAUUUAUUUGGCAGAAGCUAUGUUAGAAGUUUGAUAAGCUUAACAUGUGCUACAAUUGUUUCAAGAGCAGUGUCUUUGCAGUGCUCAUACACUACCAAGAAAUGGAAGCUUAUGCUGUAUGGUGUGGUAUUUGGACACUAUUACAUAUGGGUUGAUAUUAGUUUGGAAUAGUCAUGUUAUUUACAUCAAAAUGAUUUCCCAAAUUCCAUAUGUUUUAUGUUUGUUUUCCUGCUAGCUUAUACGAGAAUUACUACGAGACCUUCUUUGUGCUAUUUUAUAGAACCUGCUCCCUGCUACAUGAGGAAAUCUAGGAAGCACCUUUUUUGUGACAUUUUCUGUGCUCUUAUUCAUUUUGAAAACAGAUAACUCUGUAGCUAUUCCUAUUUUCUCUGUUCAAUCUGGUCCAUGUGGUUUUCUCACUUGGCCAAGCAGGUCAGAUCGGUCACUUGACACAGCAGACGCAACGUAAUGCCUCUGCUGUUCUGAACUUUUCCUGUUCUGUUCUUGUGCAGGCGGGAGUUCCAGAUCGGGUGAUCAAUGUGGUCAUAGGCUUCGGCCCGACCGCAGGAACAGCGAUCGCGUUUCACAUGGAUGUUGACAUGGUCAGUUUCAUGGGAUCAACAGCAGUUGGGCGGCUCAUAAUGGAGGUGUCGGGGAGGAGCGACCUGAAGCCGGUGUAGCUAGAUUGCUAUAAUAUUAUCUAAUUAUGUGCAGGAUGUAUACUUGAUUACCUAUGUAGCAUUUGGAAAUGAGCAGACAUGUUAAAGGUUUCAGUUAAUAUAUGAUGCCUGCUGUAACUGUGAAAUUUUAUUGUCCCAAUACUAUGCUCUA